UUUUGAAAAAGCAUUUAGAAUCAGCUAAACCCUUUUUGCAGCCUUUAUUUUAAAUUAAUCAUUGCAUUGGAAUAUCCAGAUUUAUAAAUUAAGAAAAUCAUCUUUGCAUUACAAAACCACAUUUUCUUUUAACUUAGUGGCUGCGUUCCAAAGCAGGAAGUUAGGAAAAUACAGCAACUUUAUAGCCAGAGUAAGAUAAAUAAUACUCUUCUAAGGGGGAGUGCUAUUUAUACUCCCUUUGUAUUUGUAUUUCCUAAUCUGUUCUCUUCUCCAUUCCAGUGACUGUAAUUUAAAAUCAUAGCAUUUAAAGUAAUGUUAUAUUUCCUUUCCCAUACUACUGCUGUUUUGCCCCCUUCAGAAAUUACAGUGAUGUGAUUGCUGGUGUAGUCAAGCUAAAAAGAACAGCUCUCACUUUAAUGUGUCGUUUCAAUCUGCUCUUUGUAGGUGGGUUGAUAAGGUGAAAUAGAUAAUGAUUUUGUAAAUGUCUUGUCAUGAAUAGGCUUGAUGUCACACAUGUUCUUAAAACCACAUCACAGUAUAGAAGUACUCAUCUUCCUGAAGGUGGUGCCUCAGAAGAAGAUGAGUUCACUUAGUUACUUAUAAAGAGAAGUUCCAUGCCAAAAAAAUUUGUCAGUGGAGCCCAAAGAGCACUGAAACCACAGUGGCUGUGGUUUACCUUCAGAUUCAUACACCUAAAUUUGCGUAUCUAAACAGGGCCAUCUGGAAUCUCUCUGAGUCCUAUCAGAUGAAAUGCACCUGGAGGCCUUUCCUGGGCUAAUGGCUUUCAGCAGGUUACUCAAGAAAAGACAAGGAACCUAAAUGUUGUCUAAAUAAUGUCUUGCUGUCUGGUGAGGAAGAGUGAGUUGCCUGAAGAAAAAGGGUUUUGUUAACUGAGAGAAGGCUGGGAGGAACUGUUGGACUGGACACUACUACGUAAUUAUGAAAGAAAGAGCAGCAUAUUACAGUAAUGCCAUGACUUUGAGGAAGAUGCUAUGUCCAACAGUAUCAGUUUCCAGGAAUGGAGGUGAUGAUAGUGGCCUGCAGAUAUUUAUCAACAAGUCAUUCCCAGACCACCUGGAAAGGUCCACUGGAGGGCACUGGGAGAGGUACUAAAGAGCAAGCAACUGUCAGUCAGAUGAGGCACUCCUGAACUAGGCGAAUGCUGACAUUUGGAAGGAACCUUCUGUGGCCAUGGAAACCAAAAUGCCACACAAAAGCCAGAGGGUGCUUAGGAGGUAAACAAGAUAGAUGAAAGGUGAUGGUGCUUUUAAUCUCCACAAUCAAUAUACUUAGGGCUAGAAAAAAACCUCAUCAGUCUGGAUUCGUCAUGUUGAAGAGUUUUGCUGGAAACUCAUCACAUGUGGUCAGUGUGGGUUGGCGAGUGCCUGAUUUUGCAAGCAAACUCUACCCACUAUCCUUACCACCAAAGCUGAACCUGCCAGAGACCUCUUUCCUUGAUGACACUACUGACAGAAUCUUUGUCAAAUCUAGACUGGGCAAAUAAGCAUAACCAAAAGAAGAACCAGCUUAGGCAACCAUGUGAAACUCAGUAUGUGUAUACUGAAUCAAUACUUUUGUUUAAAUAAAAGAUGACAUAAAUUCUCUUGACUGGUUUUUGUUCUGUCACUUUCAAAAUUCCUGGUUCCAACUAUGCCAGUAAACAGAAACAGAAAAAGCUGCAGAAGUAUUUUACCUUAUGGAGAAUUUACAAAUCAAAACAAACCAAGAGAAGAGAAGAGAAGAGAAGAGAAGAGAAGAGAAGAGAAGAGAAGAGAAGAGAAGAGAAGAGAAGAGAAGAGAAGAGAAGAGAAGAGAAGAGAAGAGAAGAGAAGAGAAGAGAAGAGAAGAGAAGAGAAGAGAAGAGAAGAGAAGGAGAAAGAAAUUUUGAUAAAUCUCACGUGAAUAUAUAUAUUUUUAAUUUUUACCACCAAAUUUUACAAAUUCAAAAUUAAGCCAACUUAAACUUAACUUUUUUCCCCUGAACAUGUAGUAUGUGGAGCAAAAAUAUGAUUUGACUCUAGACUGAAUUUAGACAUUGAUGCAAGUUUCCAUAAUGAUUCAAGAAAUAGAAAUUGCUGGAAUUGUUCUAUUAUGGGAAACUUAAUCUUACAUAAAUAGGUUGAAAAAUAUUUGUAUUUUAUCCUGAUUAUAGUUGAGCUCAAGGGCUGGAACUUUUCUUUGCUAGUCACUGAGCCAACAGGAGAUGAUUCUUCUAUCUGUUUUGUUUUGACACACUGCAAGGAGAUAAUGGAAGUUCUAAUUAUAUAUUUGAAUCCUGAGUUGAUGUAGUUAAAAUUAAAUAUAAAAGCAAACAUAGGCUAGACAGAAAUGAUUGGUCUUAAUUUCAAAAUGCAUGGAAAACUUUAUGAAAAGCAUUCACUGAGACCUAAGAGAAAAAAGAGUUAGACGUGAGGUCUCUCAACAGGGGGAAUAGGAUUUAGAUUGAGCACAAAAUAGAUAUGAAACAAAAAGCAAAGUCAAUAUUUUGUGUUUUCCAGAAGGAAUGGCAUUGGCUUUAGGACAAAGCCAAAUAAAUUAAGAUGUAGAUUAUUGCAGGCAAAAUGCAGGGAAAACUCAACAUGGUCAACACAGGUGUUCAAGUGGUCUCUAUCUCAUGUUCCUGAAAUAACUAUUCAAUGCACUUACAAAAUCCUGUAGCAAGCACCUCAUGGUAAUUUAUCACACUGCAUGGUCUAAUUCAUCAGGUUGAGCAAUAGGUUAGUUAAGGCUAAGGCACUGCACUGCAAGGAAUGUUGAAGCCAAUUCUGACUCCCCACAUUUAGGAGAAAGAAGCAGGAUAGCCAGCAGGAGACUGCUCCAUAGAUUUCAGCUGUGAAAAGAUGCUUUUAUAUAUGUGGGAGAAACAAAAUCUCAUGUCUAAUUCCUAAAUAUUUCUAUUACCUGGCUUGAGGCUUUCUAUCUUCUGUUUCCAGUGCAGUCAAGCACCUUACUCAAAGCUGUGAAUGCCAUUCUUGGUCUGAAUAACAAACUUCAGGUGCUCUUAUGCUUAUCAAGGCAAGAUCUAAUCUUUUUGGAAAGCAUUUAACAAAUAGCAAGAUACCAAAAUCCAGUGAAUUAUUUUAAGCCUGUUACUCCCUAUUCUCUAUUAAUAAACUGCCUUUCUUAUUUUGUACAUAUCGUCUGGAUAGCUGACAAAGAAAAAACAUUAGAUUUUACUGUAGCUUAAUACUCUUGUAUUGUUCUUUUCUUUCAGAAACUAAUAGCAUUUUUUUUUCUGGAGGUAAAAUUGUCAACCAAUCUGAAUGAUUGACAUCUCAAUUGUUUUGAAACAGUUAGUGAUCUCUUCCUGGUUUUCAGAGAACAUUGAAGAUUUGAUCUCUGAAAAUCAAGCAUUUCCAAGUUAUUCUGUGGUGGAUAACCCAAGCCACUAGCCCAUUUUGCUCAGUAGAUUUUGCUCCAUAGCUAUGAGCUUGAAAAUCGUAUUCUUGUGGAAAGAAAAAAUGCAAGAGGAAGUGAAUCUCUUUGGUAUGUUUGGUACGCUGUUGAUACAGAGUUUAUUUUAAAAGGAAAUUAUCAAUCUUAAUAUUUAUGUAUUUAUUUAUUUAUCUUUGCCAUUUUAGUACCAUACUGGGAAUAUUUUUGUCUCAUUCUUUAAUGAUCUUUCUUUCCAAAAAUCUUAUGAGGGUAACAACACCACUCAAGUUUGUUACGGCAUCUUAAAUGAAGUUAGUUGUGAGCAGGUGUACGUUCAACAAUUUAAAAUCAAGAAUGGACAAAUCAUCUAACUUUAUAUCCCUGGAAGGAAAAGAAGAUCCUGUCACCAACCACAUUUGAAAAGACAGAUUUUUAUGUGUGAAUGAAUACAGGUUCAUUACUGUGGUGAAAGUAGAAAGAAUGCAGUAUUAAAUCCAGCACAUUUUUUAAAAAAUAUCAUACGUCUAAUGCUGUGUUGAUCCAAAUAGUCACAUUCUCCUCCACUGUACUAGACACUUGUUUUUGUCUUUAAUUUGCAAGCUUUUGUUGAAAGACACAGUCAGUAUUACUUUUUGUGAGUUUACAUAAACGACAAUCCUUAGUGUAAGUAAAUAAUGCAUAAAAUCUAUUCAUGCUGCUUGAACAAGUUCGAGGAAACUUGCAAGAAGUGAGCUGGUGUUGCAAACAGUAUUUUAAUCAAUCAAAGCAGAAUUGAAAUGGUUUGAUAGCAACCACCAGUCACUGAAAGCAUUGUGAUUUUCUGUUAUUAGCUAAAAAUGAAUCUAAUUGCACCCUCUGAGCCUUGAUCUGUUUUAUAAUUGCUUGUGAUGUAUUUUUUUUUCAGGAAAGUGGGCUAUUUUGGAAAAAAAAAUCAUUUGUUCUCUUAAAAUAUCUGAGUUUUCUCAGAUAGUAGCAUAGACAGGCUGUUAAUGUAGUGAUACUGUGGUUUUG